AGAGUUUGAUCAUGGCUCAGAACGAACGCUGGCGGCAGGCUUAACACAUGCAAGUCGAACGCCCCGCAAGGGGAGUGGCAGACGGGUGAGUAACACGUGGGAAUGUACCCCAAGGUACGGAAUAUUCUCGGGAAACUGAGGGCAAUACCGUAUGUGACCGAAAGGUGAAAGAUUUAUCGCCUUGGGAUCAGCCCGCGUUGGAUUAGCUAGUUGGUGGGGUAAAAGCCUACCAAGGCGACGAUCCAUAGCUGGUCUGAGAGGACGACCAGCCACACUGGGACUGAGACACGGCCCAGACUCCUACGGGAGGCAGCAGUGGGGAAUCUUGGACAAUGGGCGCAAGCCUGAUCCAGCCAUGCCGCGUGAGUGAUGAAGGCCUUAGGGUUGUAAAACUCUUUCGUCAGGGACGAUAAUGACGGUACCGAAGAAGAG
rnacentral:rRNA from 1 species